CUAAUGGACUCCACCACGGCGACGGCAGAGCUGGGCUGGACAGUGCAUCCUCCCUCAGGGUGGGAAGAGGUGAGCGGAUAUGACGAGAACAUGAACACGAUCAGGACGUACCAGGUGUGCAACGUCUUUGAGUCCAAUCAGAACAACUGGCUGCGGACCAAGUACAUACGGAGGAGAGGAGCUCACCGCAUCCACGUGGAGAUGAAAUUCUCCGUCCGGGACUGCAGCAGCAUCCCAAACGUUCCUGGCUCCUGCAAGGAGACCUUCAAUCUCUACUACUUCGAAUCUGACUUUGACUCGGCCACCAAGACCUUUCCCAACUGGAUGGAGAACCCCUGGGCAAAGGUGGACACCAUCGCGGCCGAUGAGAGCUUCUCCCAGGUGGACCUGGGUGGCCGCGUGAUGAAGAUCAACACCGAGGUGCGCAGCUUUGGGCCGGUCUCCAAGAAUGGAUUCUAUCUCGCAUUCCAGGACUAUGGGGGCUGCAUGUCCUUAAUUGCUGUCCGGGUCUUCUACCGCAAGUGCCCCCGAGUGAUCCAGAACGGCGCUGUGUUUCAGGAGACGCUCUCUGGAGCAGAGAGCACUUCACUGGUGGCGGCCAGAGGGUCGUGCAUUACCAACGCAGAGGAGGUCGAUGUCCCCAUCAAGCUGUACUGCAAUGGGGACGGGGAGUGGCUGGUGCCCAUUGGACGGUGCAUGUGCAAAGCUGGCUAUGAAUCGGUGGAGAACGGGACCAUCUGCAGAGGCUGCCCAUCAGGGACGUUCAAGGCCAGCCAAGGGGACGAAGGGUGUGUUCAUUGCCCAAUUAACAGCAGGACUACUUCGGAAGGGGCCACCAACUGCGUGUGCCGAAAUGGAUAUUACCGGGCUGACUCCGACCCCCUGGAUAUGCCAUGCACCACCAUCCCGUCUGCCCCGCAGGCCGUGAUCUCCAGUGUGAACGAGACGUCGCUGAUGCUGGAGUGGACCCCGCCCCGGGACUCCGGGGGCCGCGAGGACCUGGUGUACAAUAUCAUCUGCAAGAGCUGCGGCUCUGGGCGCGGUGCCUGCACCCGCUGUGGGGACAACGUGCAGUUCUCCCCACGCCAGCUGGGCCUGACAGAGGCCCGCAUCUACAUCAGCGACCUGCUGGCCCACACCCAGUACACCUUUGAGAUCCAGGCCGUGAACGGGGUCACUGACCAGAGCCCCUUCUCCCCGCAGUUUGCCUCCGUCAAUAUCACCACCAACCAGGCCGCCCCGUCUGCUGUGUCCAUCAUGCACCAGGUCAGCCGGACCGUGGACAGCAUUACCUUAUCGUGGUCUCAGCCUGACCAGCCCAACGGAGUCAUCCUGGAUUAUGAGUUGCAGUACUAUGAGAAGGAUCUGAGUGAAUUCAAUGCCACGGCGGUGAAGAGCGCCACCAACACCAUGACUGUGCAGAACCUCAAAGCCGGCACCAUCUAUGUCUUCCAGGUGCGGGCACGCACCGUGGCCGGCUACGGCCGCUACAGUGGCAAGAUGUACUUCCAGACCAUGACCGAAGCUGAGUACCAAACCAGCGUCCAGGAGAAGCUGCCGCUCAUCAUUGGCUCCUCAGCAGCGGGUCUGGUGUUCCUCAUUGCCGUGGUCGUCAUCAUCAUUGUGUGCAACAGAAGACGGGGCUUCGAGCGAGCCGACUCCGAGUACACUGACAAGCUGCAGCACUAUACCAGUGGCCACAUGACUCCUGGAAUGAAGAUUUACAUUGACCCCUUCACCUAUGAGGACCCCAAUGAGGCCGUGAGGGAAUUUGCAAAGGAAAUCGACAUCUCUUGUGUCAAAAUUGAGCAGGUGAUAGGAGCAGGGGAGUUUGGGGAAGUGUGCAGUGGGCACCUCAAGCUGCCUGGCAAGAGAGAGAUCUUUGUGGCCAUCAAAACACUUAAGUCGGGUUACACGGAGAAGCAGAGACGGGACUUCCUGAGCGAGGCCAGCAUCAUGGGGCAGUUCGACCACCCCAAUGUUAUCCACCUGGAGGGUGUGGUCACCAAGAGUGCCCCUGUCAUGAUCAUCACCGAGUUCAUGGAGAAUGGCUCACUGGACUCCUUUCUCCGGCAAAACGAUGGGCAGUUCACUGUGAUCCAGCUAGUGGGCAUGCUGCGGGGCAUCGCUGCGGGCAUGAAGUACCUGGCCGACAUGAACUACGUACACCGGGACCUGGCUGCCCGCAACAUCCUCGUCAACAGCAACCUGGUCUGCAAGGUGUCCGACUUCGGCUUGUCCCGCUUCCUGGAAGAUGACACCUCGGAUCCCACCUACACCAGUGCACUGGGUGGGAAGAUCCCGAUCCGGUGGACGGCACCUGAAGCAAUUCAGUAUAGGAAAUUCACAUCAGCCAGCGACGUGUGGAGCUACGGCAUAGUCAUGUGGGAGGUGAUGUCCUAUGGGGAGCGGCCGUACUGGGAUAUGACCAAUCAAGAUGUGAUAAAUGCAAUAGAGCAGGAUUAUCGGCUGCCCCCUCCCAUGGACUGCCCCAACGCCUUGCACCAGUUAAUGCUCGACUGCUGGCAGAAGGACCGGAACCACAGGCCCAAAUUCGGGCAGACUGUCAACACGUUAGACAAAAUGAUCCGAAACCCCAAUAGCCUGAAAGCCAUGGCACCCCUCUCCUCCGGGAUUAACCUCCCUUUACUGGACCGCACAAUCCCUGAUUACACCAGUUUCAACACGGUGGAUGAAUGGCUGGAUGCCAUCAAGAUGGGCCAGUACAAGGAGAGCUUUGCCAGUGCCGGCUUUGCCACCUUUGACAUGGUGUCACAGAUGACCAUGGAGGACAUUCUGCGAGUCGGGGUCACUUUAGCAGGCCAUCAGAAGAAAAUUCUGAACAGUAUCCAAGUGAUGCGAGCACAGAUGAAUCAGAUCCAGUCUGUGGAGGUUUGAUGUUCACACGUCCUCACACUCCUCUUCCUCAAGGCCCUUCUCCCCUUUGCCCCUGUACGUCCAAGCUCCAGUUCUUGAGUGUUCUGCAUUCACCAGAGACAGGCAGCUGCUCUAAGGAUCAUGACAACAGGAAGAAACAUCCUGACAACAAAAGGUUGCCAAGAGCUUCUAGAAUUUAAGCAAUGGAAAAAGGGAACAAGGAAGACAAAUAUUUUGGGGGGAAACUAUGAAAUAUUUUUUAAAAAUAAUAAUAAUAAAGCAAUGGCAUUUUUGAAAAGGGCUCUGAGAUCCAAAGGGAGAUAAAAGAGCAGAUCCUUUCAUUUUCUUCCUGCACAAGGCUGCUUCAGCAGGCCUCAGACACCUCUGGAGCAAAGAGACUUUGUCAAGGAGAUGAAAGCCAAGUGAAGACAUUGGAAGCGCUCCUCCGUUUCUCCCUUGGGAUGGUGACUCUGGGGACAUCCUGCAGCCAGCAGUCGUCCCCGAAAGCCCCCAGCUGGCAAAUCACAGGGGGAGAGAGAGCUGAGAAGUUCUUGCCAUGUAAUGGACCAAGCGCAUCUGAAAAGUGGCAAACUUUUGCAAAGCUGAAGAUUUUUGUAAAAUAAACAAACUGAGACAAGAAGAGUCUUUUUUUCCUGCAGAUGAGAAGGAACCUUGAACCCACUGGGAGUGGGGGAUGGGGAAACCAAUCCUUUUUAGACCUCUUAUUUUCGCUUGACAUGGAACGGUUUAGUGAGUGACGCGUUUUCCAGGGGUCUUCCCAUCCACCCCUCCAAUGGCAUCAUUGUCUCAUACAUAUCAUAUGCACAAGACUUUUAGUGAUCGCCUCACUAGUUGCCAAUGACCUUUUCUCAGAAGACUUCCCAAGUACACUCUCCAGCUGAGAACAUGAGGAGCCACCGUCCAACAUUCCUCACCCGCCCCCUUGCCUGGUAAUGCUUUCGGAGGUAGGGUCUGCUCCUAGGAAAGCAGAGAGCCACUGGGGUGACUUCAAAACAGUUGCAUUUCAUGGGUAUAAAACAUACUAUUGUGAAACAUUCUUAUAGUGGCAAAAAUCAGCUUCAUACAGAGAGCAGGUAACAAGUGAAAAAGUAAUGUGGACACUGUGACACAAUGGAGUGGGGGUGUGUAUAUCUUUUAGCAAUUUCAUCUUGCUGAGUUUGUCAGUCAGCUUGUUGCAAUUUGGCUGUUCCCCUCCAGCCGUCCAGCCCAGCUUCCAGAGCUAGGGUUCUCUUCCUCCAGCUUCUUACAGUCCAUCUUCCGGCUGCUACGGCCUGCCUUGCAUCAGUAAUGAUGGUGUCUGGCAGGAGAACUUAAGUUGGAAUUCCAAAGUUAUGUUGAAAAUAGCAAUAAAAAUGUCAAGCAAUGACCCACCCAUGGUGUCGAUACCAUAACUGAGCAGCAAGGACCAGAAAGAGUAGGAUGGAGGGUGCUGAUGCCAGGGUACCAGAAUCCCAAGGGUGUCAUAUUUAACAAGUUUCAGAGUAGCAGCUGUGUUAGUCUGUAUUCGCAAAAAGAAAAGGAGUACUUGUGGCACCUUAGAGACUAAUAAAUU